rnacentral:precursor_RNA from 15 species
AUGGAGUCCUCAUGAUCCCUGGUGUGAGGGUAUGUGCCCUUGGACUACAUCGUGGAAGCCAGCACCAUGCAGUCCAUGGGCAUAUACACUUGCCUCAAGGUUUAUCUCAUCACGGCUG